ACACCCUCAAGCUCUGCUUGGUGUUGGGCGUCUGUCCCGCCUCUGCGCGUGGACUCGCCCCAAAGUCAUUGGCAGCGGUCGUGCCAGCUUCUCGUGCAGCACAUUGCGCUUCUUGAAGCCCUGGUGGAUCAGCGUCCAGCAAGCCUUUCUAUA
rnacentral:misc_RNA from 1 species